rnacentral:lncRNA from 1 species
AUUCAAGGAAACAAGUGACAAAAGGUAAAAUUUCUUGAUUUUGACUUAUGAUCUACCUUUCCCAUGCAUUUUACCUUAUUUUCCAUGGUUAAAUUACAUGUUUUCAUGAUGAAUUCAUGGCUGGUCAAAAUGGGUAAGGAGAGAGAAAGAUGUUGGAUUGAUUUGAUUUUAAGAUAUGUUAGUGUUUUUAGUUAGUGUAGCAUAUUUAGAAGCAAAAUAACAAGAAAGGAAUCCAUUUUUCCCAUGAAUCUUCAUGACCGAAUCUUCCUUGAUGUGUGUGGGUGAUGGAUUGUUAUUAUUUCAAGAGAAAUGGCCUAGAAAAUGAUGAAUAAUGGUGAGAAAAUUAAGUAAGAAAAAUCACGGUGUUAGUGCACUAUAAUGGCCGAAUUUUUCCAUGAAGAAAUGGGAAGGUUUUGAUGCUGAAAUUGGUGUUAUUUGAAUAAUUUUUGGUGAAUUGAGGUAUUAGAAAUGAAAUGGAGCAAUUUGGAGCCAAAUCGAACACAAUUGUCAUUUAAUCGGGUAAUAGGCCGAAUUAGGUCAGCACCGCAUUUAAGCGGUAGUCGGAUAAGUUGCAUUUCAUAUCAUGCAAAUACAUCGAGCCUGAAUUGAUUUUAUAAUGGUCAAGCAUUAAUGUGGUGCAUUAUGUAUUGUACAUUGUGGAUAGGUGGUGAGUAAAUUACACUAGUAAAAGUACAGAGAUUGUGCUUGAAGACUGGGAUUAGGAGUACAUCGACUCCUAGAACUGUGAGUAAACUUAUUAUCGUCUUAAUUAUCUAGAGUAAUUUUAUACGAUUGUGUAAUUUUAUAGAAAAUGGGUUUAAAUGGUAAAUUGCUAUGUUUUAGGAGAAAUUGUGAUUUUAUAAAUUUUUUGAAAAAUUGAAUACUGGUUUUGAAAUUAGAGUAAUUGGAGACUGCCUGCUUGUGUUAUAAAUUAUGUUUUAAAUUAUAUGGCUUAUAGCAAUAUGUGAGCAUGAAUGGCAAAGUUGGUAUUUGUAUCAAAAAUUAUAUAUACUAUGUAUUCAGCCUUGAGAGGCUAGAUUGCGAUAAAUUGUCAUGUCAUGCAGAUAAAUAUUUUAUAAAUCAGGUGGUAGAUAGAAUAAUCCAUAGUCACUGCAAUGGUGGGGGUUCCCGUGGACUGCCUAUGAGAGGGGCACGGUAACUCAGUUAUAUAUUUACCUCCGGGAGGAGAUGUUGGACGAAGUAUCUCCUGAGGUAAAGAUUUGAGUGCACUUCACGUGGACCAUCGCGUGAGAGUGAGACUCAGCCAAUGCCAAGGAACGGCUGUCUGUCAGAUGCGAAAACAUGUUUAUGGGUAUGGGACAUUUAACAGCCUUGGUGGUCUCAGUGGGAUACCUUGACGAAGGUACUCGCAAGAAUGAUUUUGGCAGGAGCCAAGUUUUGUGAGAUAUAUAAGCCAUGUUGAUUAAUUGAGUAAACUGAAUAUUCAUGUUAUGAAAGAUAUAUUGGAAAAGAAUAUUUUAAUUCGUCUCUAUUUACUCACCUUUAGAUGGUUUAGAUGGUGUCUGUUUACUCACUGGGAUUUUAUAAUCUCACCACCCUCAUUUCUUCACAUUUCAGGCUCAGGGAAUUUCAUAGUUAGCUGACUUUGAUAAGGACCUUCAUUUGGACUUGAAUCGGCAAAAGCUGUAGGUUUUCAGCAUCCGAUGCAUUUUGGUCAGUUGGGGGCCCACGUGUCACUGUAAAAGUAAUUUUAUACUUCAGUUAUCUGAUUUAAAGUAUGUAUGAACAUAUUUAGCUUUUACACCAUGUUUUUGGUGGGUUUCGAUAUUUU